rnacentral:tmRNA from 1 species
CUACGAGGGCUACGCUCUCGCUGCGUAAGCGGCGCGACUAGUCCUUCUGGUAGCUUCGGCUCCAGCGAUCACUAGGGGAUGCCUGUAAACCUGAAGUGAUUGUCAUGCAGAACAGGAUCGCCGCGUAGUACGUUGUGGACGAAGUGGCUAAAACUUACACAACUCGCCCAAUGCACCCUGCCCGUCGGGCGGCUGAGGGUUAACUCAAUAGACACGGCUAAGCAUGUAGUACCGACAGUGGAGAACUGGCGGACGGGGGUUCAAAUCCCCCCGGCUCCACCA